CCGCAUGCUACCGCCUUACAAUUGGCUGUGGGCAACCGUUUUGUCAAUUGAUUGGAGAAAAUGGAUGUCUAUCAGGGUCACGCUCGUAGGGCAGCGAGAGGCAAAACCAGGGGGAAGACCACUUUCCUCCCGAGAGCCGACGGAGCCAGCUGGGAUACUCCGGGACGCCUGAGACAGGCGCUGGGCGGGGUCUCGCCCGUUUCGCGGAACGCCGGGAAGGGGUCACGUCCAGAUAAAGGUUCCGGUUCCGGUGUCGGCGGCUGCUGGAUUGCCAUGGCAACCCUGUUGGCUGGCGCGUGAUGCGAGGUGGUGGGACUAGGGCAAGCUGGCGUCCGCCAUUGCCAGCCUAGGCACUCCACAUUAUUCACUGCUGUAUCGUCAGUGCCUAGGACAGUGCUUGGAACGUGAUUCAUUGAUUCCAGGUAAAUCAGAGGAACCAGCAUCAUGAACAGAAAUAUAUAAAAAAUGCUGUUAUGCUGAAGCAUAACUUGUUUCAGAAGUCCAGCAUCUGGUGCACUUAACAAUAAAGCAUCUAUUAAAUUCUUUCCAAAA